GGGAAAGGUGAAAAGAACGCCGAGAAGGCGAGUGAAAUAGUACCUGAAACCGUGUGCCUACAAUCCGUUGGAGCCUCCCUAGCAGGGGUGACAGCGUGCCUUUUGAAGAAUGAGCCUGCGAGUUAGUGGUACGUGGCGAGGUUAACCCGUGUGGGGUAGCCGUAGCGAAAGCGAGUCCGAACAGGGCGUUUGAGUCGCUGGG
rnacentral:rRNA from 1 species